GACGAACGCUGGCGGCGUGCUUAAUACAUGCAAGUCGAGCGGAGCGGCGAACGGGGGAGUAACGCGUGAGUAACUGCCCCCCUCUCUGGGAUAACAGCUGGAAACGGCUGCUAAUACCGGAUAGUGGGGGAUGACUCUCGUACAAGCAGCUUGUUGGGCGGGUAGUGGCCGACCAAGGCGACGACGGGUAGCCGGCCUGGGAGUGGGACCGGCGACAUUGGUCUAAGAUACGGCGCAGACUCGUACGGUAGGCAGCGGUGGGGAAUAUUGUAGAAUGUGGAAGACCCUGAUGCAGCAACGCGGGUGCGUAAUGACGGGCUUCGAGUUGAAAACCGCUUUCAGCCAUGACGCGGUAGUGGCAGAAGAAGCACCGGCUAACUACGUGCCAGCAGCCGCGGUAAUUC
rnacentral:rRNA from 1 species